rnacentral:rRNA from 1 species
AGAGUUUGAUCCUGGCUCAGGACGAACGCUGGCGGCGUGCCUAAUACAUGCAAGUCGAGCGAAUGGAUUAAGAGCUUGCUCUUAUGAAGUUAGCGGCGGACGGGUGAGUAACACGUGGGUAACCUGCCCAUAAGACUGGGAUAACUCCGGGAAACCGGGGCUAAUACCGGAUAACAUUUUGAACCGCAUGGUUCGAAAUUGAAAGGCGGCUUCGGCUGUCACUUAUGGAUGGACCCGCGUCGCAUUAGCUAGUUGGUGAGGUAACGGCUCACCAAGGCAACGAUGCGUAGCCGACCUGAGAGGGUGAUCGGCCACACUGGGACUGAGACACGGCCCAGACUCCUACGGGAGGCAGCAGUAGGGAAUCUUCCGCAAUGGACGAAAGUCUGACGGAGCAACGCCGCGUGAGCGAAGAAGGCCUUUGGGUCGUAAAGCUCUGUUGUUAGGGAAGAACAAGUACCGUUCAAAUAGGGCGGUACCAUGACGGUACCUGACGAGAAAGCCACGGCUAACUACGUGCCAGCAGCCGCGGUAAUACGUAGGUGGCAAGCGUUGUCCGGAAUUAUUGGGCGUAAAGCGCGCGCAGGCGGUUUCUUAAGUCUGAUGUGAAAGCCCACGGCUCAACCGUGGAGGGUCAUUGGAAACUGGGGAACUUGAGUGCAGAAGAGGAGAGUGGAAUUCCACGUGUAGCGGUGAAAUGCGUAGAGAUGUGGAGGAACACCAGUGGCGAAGGCGACUCUCUGGUCUGUAACUGACGCUGAGGCGCGAAAGCAUGGGGAGCGAACAGGAUUAGAUACCCUGGUAGU